GGGUCUGGCCAUUGGUCGGGCUUUACGGUCCGUACUGGUGAGAUGGGUUCCUACCUUCUGAAUAACCGGCAUGCCAUGCAGGUGGUGCGCCGGGGAAGCAGAGCUAUUACCUUGAAAAAAUUAGAGUGCUUAAAGCAGGCUAUUGCUUGAAUAGAUUAGCAUGGAAUAAUAAAAUAGGACGGCAUGGUUCUAUUUUGUUGGUUUCUAGGAUCACCGUA
rnacentral:rRNA from 1 species